rnacentral:tRNA from 1 species
GCCUUGGUGGUCUAGUGGCUAAGAUUUGGCGCUCUCACCGCCAUGGCCUGGGUUCGUUUCCCAGUCAGGGAA